rnacentral:rRNA from 1 species
CCUACGGGAGGCAGCAGUAGGGAAUAUUGCUCAAUGGGGGAAACCCUGAAGCAGCAACGCCGCGUGGAGGAUGAAGGUUUUCGGAUUGUAAACUCCUUUUGUUAGAGAAGAUAAUGACGGUAUCUAACGAAUAAGCACCGGCUAACUCCGUGCCAGCAGCCGCGGUAAUACGGAGGGUGCAAGCGUUACUCGGAAUCACUGGGCGGAAAGGGCGCGUAGGCGGGAUAGCAAGUCAGAUGUGAAAUCCUAUGGCCUAACCAUAGAAAUGCAUUUUAAACUGUUAUUCUAGAGUAUGGGAGAGGGUGGUUGAAAUCUUGGUUGUGGGGUAAAAUUCCUAG